rnacentral:rRNA from 1 species
UACAGAGGGGGCAAGCGUUGUUCGGAAUUACUGGGCGUAAAGGGCGCGUAGGCGGCCUUCUAAGUCGAACGUGAAAUCCCCGGGCUCAACCCGGGAACUGCGUCCGAUACUGGAAGGCUUGAAUCCGGGAGAGGGAUGCGGAAUUCCAGGUGUAGCGGUGAAAUGCGUAGAUAUCUGGAGGAAUACCGGUGGCGAAGGCGGCAUCCUGGACCAUUACUGACGCUGAGGCGCGAAAGCUAGGGGAGCAACCGGG